rnacentral:rRNA from 1 species
GAUGAACGCUGGCGGCGUGCUUAACACAUGCAAGUCGAACGAUGAAGCCCAGCUUGCUGGGUGGAUUAGUGGCGAACGGGUGAGUAACACGUGAGUAACCUGCCCUUAACUCUGGGAUAAGCCUGGGCAACUGGGUCUAAUACCGGAUAGGAGCGUCCACCGCAUGGUGGGUGUUGGAAAGAUUUAUCGGUUUUGGAUGGACUCGCGGCCUAUCAGCUUGUUGGUGAGGUAAUGGCUCACCAAGGCGACGACGGGUAGCCGGCCUGAGAGGGUGACCGGCCACACUGGGACUGAGACACGGCCCAGACUCCUACGGGAGGCAGCAGUGGGGAAUAUUGCACAAUGGGCGCAAGCCUGAUGCAGCGACGCCGCGUGAGGGAUGACGGCCUUCGGGUUGUAAACCUCUUUCAGUAGGGAAGAAGCGAAAGUGACGGUACCUGCAGAAGAAGCACCGGCUAACUACGUG